GGUCCUGGUCUUUGGCUUCUCUACUCCGUCCUGUUUUAACAGCGAACAUGUCGCGGCCUGUCAGCCUUGAGAUUCUGGGAUAAAACCGACAUUCCGGGGAGGAGACAACAUGGCUGAUUGAAGCCAGCUUUCCACAGAGGCUCCUGUCCAGAAGGAGACUUAAAGGACAAAAAUUCAGCAAGUAACCUGGUGGAUUUGAGCUGCACUAAGAGAGAAGGUUGUAGAACGCACGUCAACCCCGCUGAGGUGAGCUGCGACCACAAGGAUACAAACAAAAGACAAUUGUGUAUACCCGGAGUCUGCUAAAGACUACGCCAGAUGCUUGAGACACGGCUCGGGACUUGACAGAUGUGAUCAUGCUCCUUGUGGAAUUAUCAAGGCAAAGAACAAGAUUUAAACACGUAAUUGCAAGUAUUAAAAAGGAAGUGCAGAACAUCGUAAGAGCAUUUAGAGAUAGAAGUUAAACAAACCUGCUGGGUCAGGGAAGGUCUCUCUUAGGCAAAGAUGUUUCAGUUAAACCUAGAAGGAAAAAGAGAAUUUAGCAUAAAGUACAAGGAAAGGGAAUAUUGGCAGAAAGAAAAGCAGUUGACCUUUAGGUGGCCGAGAAGAGAUCUUGUUGCCAGUCGAUUCCUCAAAACAAGGAUAGAUGUACGGUUAUUUCCGGGGCACUGAGUAAUGAAGGAAUUAAUGGGGUAAGAGUAGAAGUAGAUUGCCAAUCACAUGGGAACUUACAAGUCAGGAAAAGUUUUCAGAAUUAAUCCUAAGCCUAAUGGUAAUAAAAGAAAUAAUAGGAAAAAUCACUUCAGUGUCCAUUUUACUACCGUGUCCAGAAUGACCAGGUAAGUGUGAGUGGAAGGCACCAAUUCAA